GCAUUUAGGCCAAAGAAACAGAAGCUUAGGAUCACGCGAAAACACGUACGUGAAUGUCCAUAGCGGGGGUAUCUGCAGCAGCCUAGGACUGGGGACGAGCAGCGUGUCCUUCAGCGGGUGAAUGUUUGAAGCAACCGGUCGACCCACACCAAGGACCGUAGCUAGCAAUACGAAGGAAGAACUGACUAUGGAUACACGCAACCAUCUGGAUGGAUCUCAAGGGCAUGAUGAGAGUGAAGGGAAAAAAGCCCACCCGGAGUCACUGAGACCUACUGCAUACCGCAUCAUGGUUCCAUUUACCGAAGUGCUCAAAUGACCAACUUGUACACGAGCGAGCACACAACACUGGUGGUCGCGGGGUGGGAGGGAGCAGAGGGGAGGAGGCUGUGGUUACGAAAGGUUAACAGGAGGGGUCCUUGGGAGGGAACCAACUGGACGCGGAUGCCCGUGGGAGUCGCCUGAAUCUACACGCGUGGCAAAAGUGCAGAGCUACGCGCGGCCGCACACGCGGGUGCGGCACACACGGAGCAGCUCUCGGACGGCAGCAAUGCCAAAGCCGGGUGUGCGAUUGCACUAGAUGUGCACCCUGCCGGUCCCAGGGAACUGCGGGAGGCGCCCCGGCGCUUCUCCGGAACUCCCCGUGAGGUCCGUCACUUCAAGAUCCAAGUUCCAGCCAAAAGCACACAAGCAGGGCUUGGCGUGGACGGACACGACGACUUGCGCGACUCUGCACGCAGACGUCCCGCUCGUCCCGGCGGGACGUCUAGGCGUCGCGCGGCCCACCGGGCCCGACCGCUAGAAAGGAGCGCGCGGGAGCCGAGCCCAGAGGGGCGCGCAGGCGACCGGCUUGUUUUGAUUGGGCAGGGGACACGUCCGUCAGGCCGCGGGGCCGGGGCUUCCGCGGGCGGCCUGGGAGCGGCCCCGUCCUGAGCCGAGCUGGGGCAUUGGCGGAGCUAGCCGGAAGGGGUGGGCAGGAAGGCGGUGCCCCGCGACCUGUGGGGCGGGGCUUCCUGUGGCGCGCUGAGGGACAGGAGGAGACCGGUGCCGGGGCGGUGAGGGUGGGCGCGGCGUGCCCGGACGACGCCCCGGCCUUCUGGACACCGCCCUCCAUCCCUGAGCUCCGCCCUCCGUCCCUGGGCUCCGCCCCCCGCCUCUCCGGGUCCUGGCCCCUGCCAGAGUCUCCGUUCCCCGAGGCCUGGGGACCUGUGCGUUCCGCCGGGGCGAGGCCGACCUGACGGUGUCUGGCCCUCUAGACGGCCAGGGCCAGUGUAUCGGGGCCCCCGGGGGCCUAGUGAGGGGAGAAGGGGGCGGCGGCCCCACCGGGAUGACCAAGGGCAUAGUCACCGCGUCUGCAGCCCCUCCCCGCCCUGGCCUCGGAGAGCGGCCUUGCUGUGCGGUCCGGGGCGCAUCCAGCCUCCCGGGGACCGGAUCGCGGCACCCCCGCCCCCCUCCCCCCCCCUCCCACCCCUUCCUUGCCCGGCGCGCUGUGUGUUCCAGCGACCCUGAGUGCGUCUGGGACAGUUCUCUGUAAAGCAUGGAUCCCACCUCCACACACACACAGGCCUAGUACCCGGUACCCGGGAAAAGGUGUGGUCCCCCUGGGAGAGAGUCCUGCCCGAGUCACCCUGUUCUCCAGGACCAGCUGUGGUUGUCCCUGCCUGUCACCUGGGGAGGUCACAAGCAAGGGCGGCCCCGCAGAGGCAGAGAAAGCUCGUGGCUUCUCUACAAGUGGGUGCCAUCAGGAACCAUCCGUCCCCGUGGUUCUCAGGCUGGACGGCCGCGUGGGAACACCUGGAGGGCUUGUUCAACCUCGCGACGCCGGACUCCACCCCGGAGUCUCUGAUCUUGCAGAUCUGCGGUGGGGCCUGAGAACUUGUGACUCUAACAAGCUCCGGGCUGACUGACGCUGCUGCCACCACCACGGGUCUGGGACCCCCUCUGUGAGGAGCACUGCUGCGGAGACCUGAGACUCACUCCUAGGUCACACGGGUCCACCUGGAGCAGUGCUGGAGGGGACGACACAGGAGGAGCGUCCUGGCUCCUGAACCUGGGUGCGGGCGUCCUGGUCUCACAGGGCCCCUCAGGAACACGUCCUUUGUCUAAAGGGGGGGGGGGGGUGGCACGUUCCGGCCCGCGGACCAAGGCAGGCAGGGCCCGCAUUUGUAUGGGCAGAGGGUGGCUCUUCGUCUUUAAAGGCUUGCAGACAAAACGCACAAAGAGCCAGAGACAGGAAGAAGAAUAUGGGACCGGGUUCCCGGGCGGCCCACGCAGCCCAAGAGGGGCGCUUUCUGCCCUUUGCGGGGCAGCGUGCAGCCCUGGCGGCCGUCCCGACACAGGGGCGGGCAGCUGUCUGUCGUCACGGCAGCCGGUCAGCACCGUUGCCAGCGUGCUGAGUCCUGCCCAGGCCUGAGAGCAGGAGGCUCCGGACCGCCGGUGCUCCCGCCCGGGCGCCUCAGUCCUGCCCCCGCGUCCUCUCCUUCCCCGGGGCCGGGGGCAGCUGCCCCGUGAGGCAGGCAGGGGUGACCUCUCUCCGCACACAGGCGUGCCCCCCCUUCUGCCCCCUGCCCUCCGCCGGGCGGCUGGCAAGCGGGUGAGGGCAGGGAGUGGAGAGGAGUGGGCCCCUCCUCAGUGAUGGUUCGGGUAGCCGGGUGGCCCCGUGCUGGACUCUGGUGGCCCAGGUGGUGGCAGGCACCGGCUUGCGGUGGGGGAGGGGCGGGGUGCAGCUGUCAAUUCAGGAAGGAGCUCCCACUGUGGCCACAGGAGGCCAGCAGCAUCUGGUUUCCCUGGGGAAGUGCCCACCCGGUCCUUCCUGGCUGGGCCUCAGAGAUGAGUUCGCUCUGACACGCUCUGACAUGCUCCCGAGCUCUGUGUGUCACGCCGGUUCUGUGGGCCGGACCUUUCCCGUUGGCCGUUGCUGCCGCGCAGGGCCAGGGCCCGGGGUGCAGCUCCUGGCACCGUGGGCGGGGCGGCCGCCGUGUGCUUUUUGAACCCGAGGACAGAGGGUCUCGGGGCAGCCAGGCCGUGUCCCGGGAGCAGCAGCAGAGACCAGGGCGUUGCUUGCUGGGCCUGACCUCGGGGACCGUGGUCGUGGCUCCUGGGGACAUCCCCCGGCCAGCGUGUCGGGUGGCUUGGUCCUGAAGACGCCCCCCGGAGACCCACAGGCCCAGUGUGGCCCCACACGCCGGGGCCAUCUGGCCGGCGUCGUCGCCAGCCCCCUGGCGUGUGUCUGAGCUGAACGGCUUUCCCGUCCCUCGGCCCCAGCAGGAGGAACAGCAAGGAGGGCCCGGCUUCUCCCGGCGGCCUUCCCUCGGAGGCCUCCUGCCCCUGGUGGCGGGCGGCGGCGGCGGGCG